GGCCUUUAAUAUUCCCAAAAACUAAAGUAAGAAGAAAGCGUCUUUCGGGACUAUGGACAUAAACGCGCUCGUAAUACACGGAUCGGACCCGGGGGCGGUACCCGGCGACUCCACCAACCGCCGUUCAUUUGACGGAUUUGGGGUCGAAACAGGAUCGACGAACGUCUAAAGGGGUUAGCUUUGUUUCGGCGAGAUACCACCGUAUCGGUUCAAAACGUACAAUUGCAAAUGACAAUCGUGCACCGGUAGCAAUGGCUGCGUAAGCAGUCGGCGAGACCGAACAUUAAGUCCAGUCCCCUUGCAGGGCCUGGCGGGGUUCGCAGGCACCUGGCAACAGAAGCCUGCACU
rnacentral:tmRNA from 2 species